rnacentral:rRNA from 1 species
AUCGAACGCUGGCGGCAGGCCUAACACAUGCAAGUCGAACGAGUGGCGGACGGGUGAGUAAUGUCUGGGAAACUGCCCGUUGGAGGGGGAUAACUACUGGAAACGGUAGCUAAUACCGCCUUCCAUCGUUUGUGCCCAGCUGGGAUUAGCUAGGAGGUGGGGUAACGGCUCACCAGGGGGACGAUCCCUCGCUGGUCCGAGAGGAUGACCAGCCACACUGGAACUGGGACACGGUCCAGACUCCUACGGGAGGAAGCAGUGGGGAAUAUUGGACAAGGGGCGCAGGCCUGAGGCAGCCAUGCCGCGUGUAUGAAGAAGGCCUUGGGGUGGUAAAGUACUUUCAGCGAGGAGGCGUUACUCGCAGAAGAAGCACCGGCUAACUCCGUGCCAGCAGCCGCGGUAAUAC